rnacentral:rRNA from 1 species
UUAGCGGCGGACGGGUGAGUAACACGUGGGUAACCUGCCUGUAAGACUGGGAUAACUCCGGGAAACCGGAGCUAAUACCGGAUAGUUCCUUGAACCGCAUGGUUCAAGGAUGAAAGACGGUUUCGGCUGUCACUUACAGAUGGACCCGCGGCGCAUUAGCUAGUUGGUGAGGUAACGGCUCACCAAGGCGACGAUGCGUAGCCGACCUGAGAGGGUGAUCGGCCACACUGGGACUGAGACACGGCCCAGACUCCUACGGGAGGCAGCAGUAGGGAAUCUUCCGCAAUGGACGAAAGUCUGACGGAGCAACGCCGCGUGAGUGAUGAAGGUUUUCGGAUCGUAAAGCUCUGUUGUUAGGGAAGAACAAGUGCAAGAGUAACUGCUUGCACCUUGACGGUACCUAACCAGAAAGCCACGGCUAACUACGUGCCAGCAGCCGCGGUAAUACGUAGGUGGCAAGCGUUGUCCGGAAUUAUUGGGCGUAAAGGGCUCGCAGGCGGUUUCUUAAGUCUGAUGUGAAAGCCCCCGGCUCAACCGGGGAGGGUCAUUGGAAACUGGGAAACUUGAGUGCAGAAGAGGAGAGUGGAAUUCCACGUGUAGCGGUGAAAUGCGUAGAGAUGUGGAGGAACACCAGUGGCGAAGGCGACUCUCUGGUCUGUAACUGACGCUGAGGAGCGAAAGCGUGGGGAGCGAACAGGAUUAGAUACCCUGGUAGUCCACGCCGUAAACGAUGAGUGCUAAGUGUUAGGGGGUUUCCGCCCCUUAGUGCUGCAGCUAACGCAUUAAGCACUCCGCCUGGGGAGUACGGUCGCAAGACUGAAACUCAAAGGAAUUGACGGGGGCCCGCACAAGCGGUGGAGCAUGUGGUUUAAUUCGAAGCAACGCGAAGAACCUUACCAGGUCUUGACAUCCUCUGACAACCCUAGAGAUAGGGCUUUCCCUUCGGGGACAGAGUGACAGGUGGUGCAUGGUUGUCGUCAGCUCGUGUCGUGAGAUGUUGGGUUAAGUCCCGCAACGAGCGCAACCCUUGAUCUUAGUUGCCAGCAUUCAGUUGGGCACUCUAAGGUGACUGCCGGUGACAAACCGGAGGAAGGUGGGGAUGACGUCAAAUCAUCAUGCCCCUUAUGACCUGGGCUACACACGUGCUACAAUGGACAGAACAAAGGGCUGCGAGACCGCAAGGUUUAGCCAAUCCCACAAAUCUGUUCUCAGUUCGGAUCGCAGUC